rnacentral:snRNA from 1 species
GGAUCCUUGAAUCACAUAA